rnacentral:misc_RNA from 1 species
GUGAAUCAUCAAAUCUUUGAACGCAAAUUGCACUCUUUUCCGUGAGUGUGCCUGUGUGAGGGUCAGCAUCAAAAAAAUCAACCUAGUCGUUGUUACGCGGUAACAUUCGUCGGAAAUUGGGUCAUCUUAUACCUUUGGUUUUAAGCGGCUUAAAAUUUUUUUUACGAUUCCAAGAACGUUUAUAGGAUUUUAUAAUCUUAUACGUUUAAGGUAUAGAUAUUUAUUAGACGUGGCCGUUGCAUCUGAU